GACGUAGGGCGCGAGCGUUGUCCGGAUUUAUUGGGCGUAAAGAGCUCGUAGGCGGCUCAUCGCGUCAACCGUGAAAACCAGCAGCUCAACUGUUGGCUUGCGGUUGAUACGGGUGGGCUGGAGUUCGGUAGGGGAGACUGGAAUUCCUGGUGUAGCGGUGAAAUGCGCAGAUAUCAGGAGGAACACCGGUGGCGAAGGCGAGUCUCUGGGCCGAUACUGACGCUGAGGAGCGAAAGCGUGGGGAGCGAACAGG
rnacentral:rRNA from 1 species